UGGGGAAUAUUGGUCAAUGGGGGAAACCCUGAACCAGCAACGCCGCGUGAAGGAAGAAGGCUUUCGGGUUGUAAACUUCUUUGACGAGGGACGAAAGAAAUGACGGUACCUCGAAAACAAGCCACGGCUAACUACGUGCCAGCAGCCGCGGUAAUACGUAGGUGGCAAGCGUUGUCCGGAUUUACUGGGUGUAAAGGGCGCGUAGGCGGGACAGCAAGUCAGAUGUGAAAUCCAUGGGCUUAACCCAUGAACUGCAUUUGAAACUGUUGUUCUUGAGUGAUGGAGAGGCAGGCGGAAUUCCUAGUGUAGCGGUGAAAUGCGUAGAUAUUAGGAGGAACACCAGUGGCGAAGGCGGCCUGCUGGACAUUAACUGACGCUGAGGCGCGAAAGCGUGGGGAGCAAACAGG
rnacentral:rRNA from 1 species